CACGUAGGGUGCGAGCGUUGUCCGGAAUCAUUGGGCGUAAAGCGCGCGUAGGCGGCCCGGUAAGUCCGCUGUGAAAGUCAAAGGCUCAACCUUUGAAUGUCAGCGGAUACUGCCGGGCUAGAGUCCGGAAGAGGCGAGUGGAACUCCUGGUGUAGCGGUGGAAUGCGCAGAUAUCAGGAAGAACACCAACGGCGAAGGCAGCUCGCUGGGACGGAACUGACGCUGAGGCGCGAAAGCGUGGGGAGCGAACAGG
rnacentral:rRNA from 1 species